GACGAACGCUGGCGGCGUGCUUAACACAUGCAAGUCGAACGGAAAGGCCCUGCUUUUGUGGGGUGCUCGAGUGGCGAACGGGUGAGUAACACGUGAGUAACCUGCCCUUGACUUUGGGAUAACUUCAGGAAACUGGGGCUAAUACCGGAUAGGAGCUCCUGCUGCAUGGUGGGGGUUGGACAGUUUCGGCGGUUGGGGAUGGACUCGCGGCUUAUCAGCUUGUUGGUGGGGUAGUGGCUUACCAAGGCUUUGACGGGUAGCCGGCCUGAGAGGGUGACCAGCCACAUUGGGACUGAGGUACGGCGCAGAGGCGAACAGUAGGCAGCAGGGGGGAAUAUUGCACAAUGGGCGGAAGCCUGAUGCAGCAACGCCGCGUGCGGGAUGACGGCCUUCGGGUUGUAAACCGCUGUCGCCUGUGACGAAGCGUGAGUGACGGUAAUGGGUAAAGAAGCACCGGCUAACUACGUG
rnacentral:rRNA from 1 species